UACGUAGGGUGCGAGCGUUUGUCCGGAAUUAUUGGGCGUAAAGAGCUUGUAGGCGGUUUGUCGCGUCUGCCGUGAAAUUUCGGGGCUCAACCCCGAACUUGCGGUGGGUACGGGCAGACUAGAGUGUGGUAGGGGAGACUGGAAUUCCUGGUGUAGCGGUGAAAUGCGCAGAUAUCAGGAGGAACACCGAUGGCGAAGGCAGGUCUCUGGGCCUUACCUGACGCUGAGGAGCGAAAGCGUGGGAGCAAACAGG
rnacentral:rRNA from 1 species